rnacentral:rRNA from 1 species
CUGAUCAGCCAUUCCGCGUGAGUGAAGAAGGCCUUCGGGUUGUAAAGCUCUUUCGGCGGGAAAGAAACGGCGAGCUCUAACAUAGCUCGCUAAUGACGGUACCUGAAGAAGAAGCACCGGCUAACUACGUGCCAGCAGCCGCGGUAAUACGUAGGGUGCGAGCGUUAAUCGGAAUUACUGGGCGUAAAGCGUGCGCAGGCGGUUGUGUAAGACAGGUGUGAAAUCCCCGGGCUUAACCUGGGAACUGCGCUUGUGACUGCACGGCUAGAGUAUGGCAGAGGGGGGUGGAAUUCCACGUGUAGCAGUGAAAUGCGUAGAGAUGUGGAGGAACACCGAUGGCGAAGGCAGCCCCCUGGGCCAAUACUGACGCUCAUGCACGAAAGCGUGGGGAGCAAACAGGAUUAGAUACCCUGGUAGUCCACGCCCUAAACGAUGUCGACUAGGUGUUCGGUGAGGAGACUCAUUGAGUACCGCAGCUAACGCGUGAAGUCGACCGCCUGGGGA